rnacentral:rRNA from 1 species
AAGCGUUGUCCGGAAUUAUUGGGCGUAAAGAGCGUGUAGGCGGUUUGGUAAGUCUGGCGGGAAAUCCUGGGGCUCAACCCCGGGCGUGCGAUGGAUACUGCCGGGCUAGAGUGUGGGAGAGGGAUGCGGAAUUCCAGGUGUAGCGGUGAAAUGCGUAGAUAUCUGGAGGAACACCGGUGGCGAAGGCGGCAUCCUGGACCAUUACUGACACUGAAAAGCGAAAGCCAGGGGAGCAAACGGG